CUGUCAAAGACUGCUUCAGCCUAGAGGUACAAGUGCAAGAUGUUUUACUGGAAUUAUGACUCAUCUGGCUUGAAUCCUCUAUAUCAGUGAUGACAUAAAAUACAUUUUGUCAUGGUUUCUAGAAUUAUGUGUGUUUUAUAUUCUACCCUUUGCUUUGGUGUCUGCUGAGACAUGUUCCUUUAUUUCCUCAUGUUUUUAUCGCCAAUUCUGCAAUCUGCUAAUUGAUUAGCUUUAUGGUGAUAAUACACAGGUGCUGAUUGUGUUCUCUGGUUAUUAUUGAUAAUAUUGUACAAUCAAUUUAUGGCGAACAAAUCUGUCUGAUACAGAAGGUGAUUUAGUGUCCAUUAAGAAGAGAAAAGUGAAAAGCAAUGCUGAGGAAUCUCAGUUGGAGGUGAUGCACGUUUUCUACUCAUAUUCCUUUUGAUCUCCACAUAACUAUGGUUGUCUCACUUUGUUUUAAAAGCUUUUGAGAGCUAAGAAAACCAGGAACUUCUGCUCCAAUUUAUCAGUUCUCUUCACAUAAUUCUUGGAUUUCGGCAUGCAAGUGGCAUACUAAAUCGUUGUUUCAUCUACUUUCUGCAUUUUAUGAUGGGAAAGUCAUGUUGUGGGAUCUAAGAACUGCGUGGCCUCUGGUUAUUAUUGAUUCCCACGAGGACAAGGUGUUAUGUGCUGACUGGUGGAAAGGCGAUAGUGUGAUCAGUGGUGGGGUAGACUCGAAGCUCUGCAUUUCCUCUGGAAUUUCUGUGCAAUGAGGUGAGAGUUGUGAUUAUUAUUUGUUUAUCUGUCAUCCUGUUAUCAACUUCAGUUUAAAUUUCUACUCCCCCAACCCACCUGUAGAAUCUGUUUCCUCUCCCUUUCUUUGUCUGCAAUCGGUGUGAAAAUUAGUUCAUUUCUUUAAAUUGUCCUCAACUGCUGUGUUACAAUUUGUUUAUGCGAGUGACUGGAUGUUUUUAAGCCACUACAAACUUGAGAAUAUGUCUUUUCUUAAAGGGUUGAGUUAUGGAAGCCAUAAGAGGAUGGAUUAUUCUAAGAGAAACAUUUUCAUCUUAGCACUCUCUGUUACCGAUUCUUGAGGUGGCAGUUCGAUGGCGCCAUAUGACUAUUUCUCAAGUGAAGGAGCAGAUCGGAGCUUAAAGUCUAUUUUGUUCAAGGCCCUCUGACGAGUGUGCGCAGUGGGAGCCCUGUUGUCAUCUACAAUGGCUUCCCGUUGUAAUCUUACAAGAUUUUUGUUCAGUAGAUGCUUUAGUAGGAUAAAAUCUUGGUUGUUGACUGGGAAAAAAAAAGGUUAAAUUUUGGUUCCUCCCAAAAAACGUUUUGCAGAGCACGCAGGUUGAAUUUUGCAGAGCUCGCAAAUUCCAAAGCUCUUCUGUGGUUGGAAAGCUACAAAAACAAAAAACAGGCUCUUUUGUC